rnacentral:rRNA from 1 species
GGGUCAUUAGGUUGGUCGUGCCACCGGUACGUACUGGUCUCACUGAUUCCUCCUUCCUGAAGAACCGUAAUGCCAUUAAUUUGGUGUUGCGGGGAAACAGGACUGUUACUUUGAAAAAAUUAGAGUGUUUAAAGCAAGCUAACGCUUGAAUACAUUAGCAUGGAAUAAUGAAAUAGGACGAUCGAUCAUAUUUUGUUGGUUUCUAGGAUUGACGUA